ensembl:lncRNA
GUAGUCCAUCAGGACGCUUUGAUUAGUUUUGUUAGGUCGUGUGGGGACAUCUGGUCACAUCUGUUCGGGACAAACAGGAAAUGAAACGAUACUCAAGCCGAUAAAACGUCAAAUGGAGACUUUGGAACGGGACGGACGAUUCAAGUUGGCGAACAAAGACGAUGUUUAUGAGUUGCUUUUUCCCUCCAGCUGAUUGAUCCCGGCGCACGGCGCCGCUCCUCCAGUCCUUCGUGCUCGCGUGUGGGGGAACGAGCAACGGCACAAACUACUGAAAACACAAGCGUUCCUUAUUGGGAACGCAGAUGUUUUGUCAUUUUUCAAGCACAAACACACUCAAACAUAGUAAAUGUAGCCAUCCAAUACCCGUAAUACCAUAAUAUUUACUAGAUAAUGAUUCAGGUUGUGGUUCAAGGACUUCGAAUUGACCUCGUGUCCACUCUUGGUCAAAGAGACAAACAGAAUAAAGUCACAACUGAAGAAGAAAAAUCCCAUAACUGCCUUUUGGAUCGUCUGGUUUUAAGGAAAUUCCUUUUGAUAAUCAUUAAAACAGACGAGGGAAGAGGAAUUAUUGGUAGUUUUCUGGGGUCAUUUUUAAUUCUUUGCAAACACUUUGUGAGGGCAGGUCCAUAUUAAAAGACACGGUAAAUAUCUUCAAACCGCGUUCGGCUGCAUGGCUGCUGUGGGAAAUGGAACAUGGGCCCUUCCGGGCCCCACGUGUUGUCCCGUGUGCUUCCACUGGCGGCUCCGCGCCCGUCUUGUAAACGUCAGGCUGGAUGUGCCGCUUCCAUCUGCGCGGGGAUAUUUUCGAGCGAGGGGCCACGUCGGGUCACCAUCUGAAGUUGUUUGCUUCUUCUUCUUCGUGUAUGGAAAAGUCAUCCGUCCUUCUCUCAGGAAAUUCCCCCUGGUCCCCGGGCUGAGACAGACAGACCAACAGACAGGCUUCAUAUCAAGGAAAUAGACCCUUUUCCCUACACGAGUGUCCUCACGCCGCUCUGCAAGCGAACCGCGGCGGAGUGCGGGAACGCUAUCCGAUACCGAUGGUAACGCGAGGAACAAGUCACUGGAGUUUAUGUUCAAUACGUCAGAGGGAUUCACUUUCAAAAUGGCCGCUCCAGUGGCGGUCGGCGUGUUUCGCUAGCAUGAAGCCGGAGACGCUGGCCGCGUUAUCUGCCGCUCGCCGCUCCGAGCCGGCUAAUCUGACUUAUUACUUCUGAGUGACGAGAUUUCUUGUCAUGUUUUUAAAUGCUUUUUUAAAUGUGUUUGACUCCAAGACAUUUAAGGAGCAAAGGUUUCAAGUGGCAAUAUUUGUGUAACUCUGUAUGGAGAAACGUUGUUCUUUCUCACAUCUGUCGAUGAAAUCAACCGCUCGUUUCAGUCGCCUGAGAAGCUCUCAGUGACUCAGCUGUUGUUGGUAAAUAUGCGGCUGCAGGUCACCAGUCAGCACGGUCACCAGUCAGCACGGCCACCAGUCAGCACGGCCACCAGUCAGCACGGCCACCAGUCAGCACGGUCACCAGUCAGCACGGCCACCAGUCAGCACGGCCACCAGUCAGCACGGCCACCAGUCAGCACGGUCACCAGUCAGCACGGUCACCAGUCAGCACGGUCACCAGUCAGCACGGUCACCAGUCAGCACGGUCACCAGUCAGCACGGUCACCAGUCAGCACGGCCACUUGUCAAACUGAAACACGCGUUGCACUGAAACCAUCUCCACCCUGCUGUUGAAAUCGAUUGAUUGGGUUUCCGACAAACUUGCAACAAGCGGACAUUUUUAUGACAGUAACGGUUUUAAAUUGGAUGUUCACGCUAACUCAGGGAAUGAUCUUCUCCAGUCGCCAAUGUUAACUAAUUUUCUAGACCUAAUCAAGAAAGCUCAAACCCAAAUUCAUUUCAACGGUAGGAUGUAAAGUGAACGGUAUUCUCCCGUCCGUUAUCUCAUUCGUCCGUUACCUCAUCCGUCAGUUACCCCAUUCGUCCGUUAUCCAAUUCGUCCGUCACCCCAUUUGUCCGUUACCCCAUUUGUCCGUUACCCCAUUCGCCCGUUACCCCAUUCGUCCGUUACCCCAUUCGUCCGUUACCCCAUUCGCCCGUUACCCCAUUCGCCCGUUACCUCAUUCCGAACUAGCGGCCGAACGUGAACCCGACACCGGGUCGUGGUGUCCGGUGUCCUGCAGCACUCCCCUGUAGUGGUUUGCGGUGCGUUUUGCUGUGUCAGCGCUGAAUCUGCAGAGGCACUCGCACAUUAAACGGCGUGGAGGCUGGAGCCGGGGCGUCUGUGUGCUCAUGUCCGUCCAUGGAACAAUGCACUCAGUCACCAGUUAUUAGGUCCGCCGAGCUAAAAAUCAAAACACAUCCCGCCUUGUUGAUGGUGGACGCAGCGCUCCCAUUUGUUUGGGACGUCUCCCGAUGCCGAUAGAGUCUCUACGCCGGAGCCGCUUUCACAUACAAUUUACAAGUUUGCAUCGAUUUAAAUGUGUCCCGAAGCGGUCCACAUGGGUUUCACAUACAAGCGGGAAGAGGAGUGCAAAUUUUAAUGUUUCAUUUUCAUUCAUUCCCUUUUAUCCCCUGGUUCAUUUUGACCAGGGGAUAAAGGGGAGGAGUCAAUUGAGCUGCAUCUCCUCAAAUGUCAUUUAAGGCCGAGUGUGCGCACUUACUCGUAACAAUGAACGUUUUUUUUCCUGCUGUUUGUUGUUGAAACCGGCGACCCGCAGCUGAACGCAAUGAGUCAGCUGUGUGUGUGUGUGUGUGUGUGUGUGUGUGUUACUCCCUCACACACACACACUGUGUUGACGGAGGGUCCAGAUGAGGUAACCGUACUCCAUCUUCUUCCUCUUCCUCCUCCUCCUUGCUGCUGUGUGAUUCGAUGAGAGAGGCUCCUCUCUUCACAUUACAUUUGAAAGAAAAUAGGAAACGUCCCUCGGGGGUCAGAGGUCAGCCAUCCAGUUUUUAGAAGCAGAUGUUGGUCUAAGAGUGGUGGGGGCAUCGUUUGAAAAAAAUUUAAAAAAAGAAUUGUGGGACAACUGAUUGUUUCAUUGCCAAAUCUGGUCAGCUCAGAAAUAUUGAGUAGCUCUUUGGUGUGAGGCCCCAAAAUGACGUGUGCACAUUCAGCUGUAAUGAUGGACGACCCGGUCUUAUUCUCUGCAGACACAGACCGUUUAGAAAUGAAACUACAGAGAGACCACAGCCUCCGAACACAACAGCACGGUGGCUCCAGCUUUGUUUCACACUCUUUGCAUGGGGGGGGUGUUUUUGUUCGGGUUCUCUUCGUCUCCGCCUCGUAGUUUGUGUCUGGCUGCACAUCUGUCUGGGAUUAAAGAGAGACAUUCUGGCCGCUCACUGCACCGCCCUCCUUCUUGGGAAUUUUUUUUUUAUCUCAUUUAAUUUUCUUCUGUGUUUUCCUUUCUUUCUUUUUUUUUCCCCCUGGCGUUUUAUUUCUUGACAUCUCGGAGGCGCUGGCUGUGCAGCCGGGGGAUCAGGACCGGCGUUCUGCUCACGCGCCCCGACGGCGUGUGUCGUUGAUGGUUGAAGGACGGGAUGUCGUUAUAAAGUGUGUGUGUGAGAGCGACAGAGGGCAAAAUACAGUGUGCUUGUCGGCCUGAAGUAACAGUUUACACAACAAGUUGUGCGUGUGAGGGCAGGCGAUGCGCUCCGCCUUUUCUGUUUUUCCAUCGCUCCGACUGAGAGCGAGAGGCCUGCUUGUGUGUGUGUGUGUGUGUGAGUGUGCCUGUGUGCAUUUUGUAUUUGAUGGUGGUACAGUAGCGUGUGCUGAUGCUGAAGAUGGGUCAUGUGGUUCCGGGGGGGUGAGAAGGGCUCGCCGGUUCUGGAAAAAAUGUGUGGCUGGAAAGCGAAGGCAGGACGAGCCGGCCCGCUUCAGCGAUUAGGUGUCCGCCCCCAAAAUCUUCAACUUUGUUAACACGGAGGUGCUUUUCGGCGCACGACGACGAGUGUAUUGGCGCUGAUGACCCGGAAUGUGCAUUGAACCGGCCCGCGAGGAGCCCCGCGUGUUGUGGAGCAGACCUGAUGCUUCACGCUGGGCCUCCUUAGCCGAGGGCAGGCCAGAACAGGAGCGGGUCCGACGGUUCUCCUUCGCUGAGUCAGACUCCCUCCCCGUGGUUAUGCGAUGUGCGUGUCAGCAGGUCCUCAGGGUCUUUUUUUCGUACUGGAGGGGGGGGGUGUUGUUGCUUUAUGAACGCGGACCUUCUCACCUUCUCCUCUUUAGCUGUUGCUCCCUCGUUGGUUCCUGCUGCAGAUGUUGUUUCUGGCAGGGCCCAUUUCAACCGAGGACACCGAGGUGGAAACUCGUACUCCCCCCCCCCCGUCCCGCGCGCUGCGUUUAAUCCGUGCGUCACCGUUUAGCCCUUAAGGAAAAAUUCUGAAUCCUGAAAUGUGGAGCUCAGUGACCUUGUGUGUGUGUGUG